rnacentral:miRNA from 1 species
CUAGUAACUAAAGUGCAGGAUUGG